UACGUAGGGUGCGAGCGUUAAUCGGAAUUACUGGGCGUAAAGCGUGUGCAGGCGGUUUGUUAAGACAGGUGUGAAAUCCCCGGGCUUAACCUGGGAAUGGCGCUUGUUACUGGCAGACUAGAGUGCGUCAGAGGGGGGUGGAAUUCCACGUGUAGCAGUGAAAUGCGUAGAUAUCGAGAGGAACACCUGCGGCGAAGGCGGGUUGCUGGGCUGAUACUGACGCUGAGGCGCGAAAGCCAGGGGAGCGAACGGG
rnacentral:rRNA from 1 species